UGUUUUGAAAAUUGUACGUAUUUUGCUAUAUAGUUUAAGGGAUUUUCUAUGAUGUGCCCAAGGGCACACAAUAGUCCCUAACUCCAAUAAAAAUAACUCAUUUUGAUUGGUGGAUGAACAAUAAAUGAUAAUGGCCCCCCUGCAUUCACAUCAACUCCACCAAUCAAAACAAGCCAUUUUUAUAGAAUUUAGUGUUUAAAAUGUGUCCUUGGGCACACAUUAGAAAGACCGAUAAUUUAAAUAUUUAUAAACUGUUUCCAUCACAAAUUUAGAACACAGUUACAUGUGCAUUUCAUUAUAAAAGUCAAG
rnacentral:lncRNA from 1 species